AUUUACAUAAUUUAUAUAAAAUAUAGCUUUUUCAUAGCUAAAAAAGAAACUCUAUUCUUGUAAAUA
rnacentral:tRNA from 1 species